UAACGGGCUUACCAAGGCGAUGAUGCAUAGCCCGAGUUGAGAGACUGAUCGGGCCACAUUGGGGACUGAGACACGGGCCCAAAACUCCGUACGGGGAGGGCAGCAGUAGGGAAUCUUCCACAAUGGACGAAAGUCUGAUGGGAGCAACGCCGCGUGAGUGAAGAAGGUUUUCGGAUCGUAAAAGCUCUGUUGUUGGUGAAGAAGGAUAGAGGUAGUAACUGGCCUUUAUUUGACGGUAAUCAACCAGAAGUCACGGCUAACUACGUGCCAGCAGCCGCGGUAAU
rnacentral:rRNA from 1 species